GAAAUGCGAUACUUGGUGUGAAUUGCAGAAUUCCGUGAAUCAUCGAAUCUUUGAACGCACAUUGCGCCCUCUGGUAUUCAGCGGGUAUCCCUACCUGAUCCGAGGUCAACGGAUAAAGAGAGUUCAAAAGUAGGCGAGGCGUCGGUCCGCACCGCUGAACGUGUGACGAAGGUCCCCAUACGUUCGGGCUGAUCGGAUUACCGCGACGCCGCCACUGCAUUUCGGGCCCGUCCCCCGGAGCCGGGGGACGCGGAGGCCCAUCACACAAGCCGUGCUUGAGGGGUU
rnacentral:misc_RNA from 1 species